GAUGAACGCUGGCGGCGUGCCUAACACAUGCAAGUCGAGCGAAGCACUUUGCUUGGAUUCUUCGGAUGAAGAGGAUUGUGGCUGAGCGGGCGACGGGUGAAGGUACGCGUGGUAACCUGCCUCAUACAGGGGGAUAACAGUUAGAAAUGACUGCUAAUACCGCAUAAGACCACAGCACCGCAUGGUGCAGGGGUAAAAACUCCGGUGGUAUGAGAUGGACCCGCGUCUGAUUAGCUAGUUGGUGAGGUAACGGCUCACCAAGGCGGCGACGGGUAGCCGGCCUGAGAGGGUGGACGGCCACAUUGGGACUGAGACACGGCCCAG
rnacentral:rRNA from 1 species